UAUUCAAUAACCAAUACAGAUUUAUAAAUUAUGUUAAGAAUGCCUUUUCAAUUAUGCUUAAUGAGAUAAGUUGACAGACAAUAUGUAUUGUGUUAUUCUAUCUACCCUAAUCAAUACGGGUUGCAAAAUAGUUCGGUCGGGCAAGAUGGAUAACAGGUCGAUUUAAGUUAUUUAUGCUAUUUUCAGAAUGGGUUGAGCCGACCCCAAUAUUUUAUCUUCAGAAGAUCUUCCAGAUAAAUGGGACAAUUUUUAGCUAAACGGGUCGAUUAAAGAACAUUUGUGGUUUACGUCACGCUAUUGCCUCUACAUCACGCCAGAAUCCUUCUUCGAAG
rnacentral:lncRNA from 1 species